rnacentral:rRNA from 1 species
UACGAAGGGGGCUAGCGUUGCUCGGAAUCACUGGGCGUAAAGGGUGCGUAGGCGGGUCUUUAAGUCAGGGGUGAAAUCCUGGAGCUCAACUCCAGAACUGCCUUUGAUACUGAAGAUCUUGAGUUCGGGAGAGGUGAGUGGAACUGCGAGUGUAGAGGUGAAAUUCGUAGAUAUUCGCAAGAACACCAGUGGCGAAGGCGGCUCACUGGACCACAACUGACGCUGAGGAGCGAAAGUGUGGGGAGCGAACAGG